UGCUGGCAACGCUCUUGAGUCAAAGUUAAACAGAUUAAACCGCGGCCAUGAGUUGCCAUAAAAUUAAUAUCUUCUUUGGUAACCUUUUCAGCAGCAAUU
rnacentral:antisense_RNA from 1 species